rnacentral:rRNA from 1 species
AAGUCGUAACAAGGUUUCCGUAGGUGAACCUGCGGAAGGAUCAUUAGCGAGUUGAUGCCCUAAUGGGUAGAUCUCCCACCCUUGAAUAUCAUACCUUUUGUUGCUUUGGCGGUUGCGUCUUCGUGACGCCCGCCAGAGAACCCCAAACUCUGAAUUACAGUGUCGUCUGAGUACUAUAUAAUAGUUAAAACUUUCAACAACGGAUCUCUUGGUUCUGGCAUCGAUGAAGAACGCAGCGAAAUGCGAUAAGUAAUGUGAAUUGCAGAAUUCAGUGAAUCAUCGAAUCUUUGAACGCACAUUGCGCCCCUUGGUAUUCCGGGGGGCAUGCCUGUUCGAGCGUCAUUAUAACCCCUCAAGCUCAGCUUGGUGUUGGGGCCUGCCGUUUGGCAGCCCUUAAAAUCAGUGGCGGUGCCAUCUGGCUCUAAGCGUAGUAAUUCUUCUCGCUAUGGAGACCUGGUGGAUGCUUGCCAUCAACCCCCAAUUUUCUAUGGUUGACCUCGGAUCAGGUAGGGAUACCCGCUGAACUUAAGCAUAUCAAUAAGCGGAGGAAAAGAAACCAACAGGGAUUGCCUCAGUAACGGCGAGUGAAGCGGCAACAGCUCAAAUUUGAAAUCUGGCUCUUUUAGGGUCCGAGUUGUAAUUUGUAGAAGAUGCUUCGGGUGUGGUCCCAGUCUAAGUUCCUUGGAACAGGACGUCAUAGAGGGUGAGAAUCCCGUAUGUGAUUGGGUGCCUUCGCUCAUGUGAAGCUCUUUCGACGAGUCGAGUUGUUUGGGAAUGCAGCUCAAAAUGGGUGGUAAAUUUCAUCUAAAGCUAAAUAUUGGCCAGAGACCGAUAGCGCACAAGUAGAGUGAUCGAAAGAUGAAAAGCACUUUGGAAAGAGAGUUAAACAGUACGUGAAAUUGUUGAAAGGGAAGCGCUUGCAACCAGACUUGCACGCGGUUGAUCAUCCGGUGUUCUCACCGGUGCACUCUGCCGCGUUCAGGCCAGCAUCGGUUUUGGUGGUUGGAUAAAGGCCUUGGGAAUGUAGCUUCUUUCGGGGAGUGUUAUAGCCCUCGGUGCAAUGCAGCCUACCGGGACCGAGGACCGCGCUUCGGCUAGGAUGCUGGCGUAAUGGUUGUAAGCGACC